CCCACCCUCAGGGUCCCCCUCCCGCCGGGCUGGAUGGAGAGAAAGUGGUUAAACUUACCUCUUUCUCCAGCGCCGGGCGGGGAGCUCUCCUCCUCCUCUUCGGCAGAAUGCGCGCCAAGAGCCGCACGCGCAUUCAGUCAGUCUCAUAGGAAAGCAUUCACAAUGCUUUCCUAUGGACGCUGGCGUCUUCUCACUGUGAAAAUCACAGUGAGAAGCGCAGAAGCCCUCUAGCGGCUGUCAAUGAGACAGCCACUAGAGGCUGGAUUAACCCUAAUAUUAUAGAAAAAGGGGUUAAUCCUAGCUGGACCUGGCACCCAGACC